rnacentral:rRNA from 1 species
UACGUAGGGUGCAAGCGUUGUCCGGAAUUAUUGGGCGUAAAGAGCUCGUAGGCGGUCUGUUGCGUCGGCUGUGAAAACCCGGGGCUCAACUCCGGGCCUGCAGCCGAUACGGGCAGACUAGAGUUCGGCAGGGGAGACUGGAAUUCCCGGUGUAGAGGUGAAAUUCGUAGAUAUCGGGAGGAACACCGGUGGCGAAGGCGGCGAUCUGGGUAGAUACUGACGCUGAGGUGCGAAAGCGUGGGGAGCAAACAGG